rnacentral:tRNA from 1 species
CCCGACUUAGCUCAGUCUGGCUGGAGCGGCUGACUGUAGUAGGAUUACCGGUUCGCCGGUGUCGCCGCCGAAAUCAGCAGGUCCCCGGUUCAAAUCCGGGAGUCGGGACCA